rnacentral:rRNA from 1 species
UGGGGAAUUUUGGACAAUGGGGGAAACCCUGAUCCAGCCAUCCCGCGUGUGCGAUGAAGGCCUUCGGGUUGUAAAGCACUUUUGGCAGGAAAGAAACGUCGUGGGUUAAUACCCCGCGAAACUGACGGUACCUGCAGAAUAAGCACCGGCUAACUACGUGCCAGCAGCCGUGGUAAUACGUAGGGUGCAAGCGUUAAUCGGAAUUACUGGGCGUAAAGCGUGCGCAGGCGGUUCGGAAAGAAAGAUGUGAAAUCCCAGAGCUUAACUUUGGAACUGCAUUUUUAACUACCGGGCUAGAGUGUGUCAGAGGGAGGUGGAAUUCCGCGUGUAGCAGUGAAAUGCGUAGAUAUGCGGAGGAACACCGAUGGCGAAGGCAGCCUCCUGGGAUAACACUGACGCUCAUGCACGAAAGCGUGGGGAGCAAACAGGAUUAGAUACCCUGGUAGUCCACGCCCUAAACGAUGUCAACUAGCUGUUGGGGUCUUCGGACCUUGGUAGCGCAGCUAACGCGUGAAGUUGACCGCCUGGGGAGUACGGUCGCAAGAUUAAAACUCAAAGGAAUUGACGGGGGUCGA